rnacentral:rRNA from 1 species
GAAACGGUGACUAAUACCGCAUAAUAUUCUUGGAAGGCAUCUUCCGAGAAGGAAAGGAAAUAUUCGGUAAAAGAUGGGCCCGCAUCUGAUUAGCUAGUUGGUGAGAUAACAGCCCACCAAGGCGACGAUCAGUAGCCGACCUGAGAGGGUGACCGGCCACAUUGGGACUGAGACACGGCCCAAACUCCUACGGGAGGCAGCAGUGGGGAAUAUUGCACAAUGGGGGGAACCCUGAUGCAGCAACGCCGCGUGAAGGAAGACGGUUUUCGGAUUGUAAACUUCUAUCAGUAGGGAAGAAAGAAAUGACGGUACCUAAAUAAGAAGCCCCGGCUAACUACGUGCCAGCAGCCGCGGUAAUACGUAGGGGGCAAGCGUUAUCCGGAAUUACUGGGUGUAAAGGGAGAGUAGGCGGCAAGGUAAGCGAUAUGUGAAAGCCUUAGGCUUAACCUGAGGAUUGCAUAACGAACUAUCUAGCUAGAGUACAGGAGAGGAAAGCGGAAUUCCUAGUGUAGCGGUGAAAUGCGUAGAUAUUAGGAAGAACACCAGUGGCGAAGGCGGCUUUCUGGACUGAAACUGACGCUGAGGCUCGAAAGCGUGGGGAGCGAACAGGAUUAGAUACCCUGGUAGUCC